GCGACCCCAGGUCAGGCGGGGCCACCCCGCCGAGCU
rnacentral:rRNA from 1 species